AGUAUACUGGCGGACGGGUGAGUAACGCGUAGGCAACCUGCCCUUUCGAACGGGAUAACCCAGCGAAAGUUGGACUAAUACCGUAUACUGCAUAUUGAUCGCAUGAUUAAUAUGUUAAAGGUUGCUCUUCGGAGCACUCGCGAAGGGAUGGGCCUGCGUUCCAUUAGUUAGUUGGUGAGGUAACGGCUCACCAAGGCAGCGAUGGAUAGCUGAUUUGAGAGGAUGAUCAGCCACACUGGGACUGAGACACGGCCCAGACUCCUACGGGAGGCAGCAGUUAAGAAUCUUGCACAAUGGGCGAAAGCCCGAUGCAGCGACGCCGCGUGAGCGAUGAAGGCCUUCGGGUUGUAAAGCUCUUUAUUCGAGGGAAGAAACAGGGAGGAAGAUAACGCCUCCCGAAUGACGUUACCUCGAGAAUAAGCCCCGGCUAAAUACGUGCCAGCAGCCGCGGUAAGACGUAUGGUCCGAGCGUUAUCCGAAUUUACUGGGCGUAAAGCGCCGCUACGGCCGGGUAAGUUGGACGUGAAAGCUCCUGGCUCAACUAGGAGAGGUCGUUCAAAACUGCCUGGCUAGAGGGCGACAGAGGGAGGUGGAAUUCCCGGUGUAGUGGUGAAAUGCGUAGAUAUCGGGAGGAACACCAGUGGCGAAGGCGGCCUCCUGGGUCGCCCCUGACGCUCAGACGCGAAAGCUAGGGGAGCAA
rnacentral:rRNA from 1 species